rnacentral:rRNA from 1 species
CACAUGACUCUUGGCAACGGAUAUCUCGGCUCUUGCAUCGAUGAAGAACGUAGCAAAAUGCGAUACCUGGUGUGAAUUGCAGAAUCCCGUGAACCAUCGAGUUUUUGAACGCAAGUUGCGCCCGAGGCCUUUCGGCCGAGGGCACGUCUGCCUGGGCGUCACA